UCCUCACUACUUCCUUCCUUCCUUCCUUCCUUCCUUCCUUCAUGCUCAAACCAUCAUCACUCUCUCUUCUCUACGGAGGCCAUGGACAAAUUUUCACGGCAAAAAGCAUUCACGAAACUUCCACAAGGUGACUAUGAUGAAGCCAUUUUCAUGUUUGGUCGCCACCACAACAUCUCGGAAAAGUAUGAUGGCAAUGAGAGGGAGCUCCUCUUUGGUGAAGACAUUGAUCGCGGGUUGGUGACCGAGGCUGGUUGGUGUUAAUUGGGUGCUAUCCUACCUGAGCUUUUUCUUCGUCCUUUUUUUUUUUAAUUUUUCAUCGUUUUUUUUUUUAUUCUCUUUUUCUCGUCUUCUUGACCUUGUAAGACCUUUUCUUGACCUUGUAAGACCCUGUUGUGCGCAUUUCUUCUUCGUUUUCCAUCUUGUCAUGAACUCUAUACCAGCACCGACUGACAUAGAGUUCGGCCACUGUGUUCCCCGUUUCCGCCCAACUCAUGUUCUCCUUCCUUGUCUAUCCCUCCUGAGCUAUUGGAAUUGAACCAACACCCUCCCCUCAAAAUUCUCGACAAUGAUAGUAAUGGGCUUCAUUUGUGACAUGUAAAUCUAGUAGAAAAAGAAAAAGAAUGUUAAUUUUGAGGUAGAGAAAAAGAGAGAGUUGUAAAGAGUACUGAAAUGGAAAAGGAUUGAUCAGAUAUAAGGUGUUUUGGGGUGUUGACAGAAUAAUAGUAUUUGCUGUCUUUCCAGUUUCCACUAUUCAUUUACAGCCAUCAAUUUCGAUUGGUAUUAUAUGGGCAGAAAUAUGCUGUUGCAGGCAGCAGUUUCGUUGUUUUAUAUGUUGUUUGGCUGAGAAGUGAGUAGAGAAUAAAUAUUCUUCUGCAGAUCUGUGAAGACUUAAUUCCCCUCGUGACUGCUCUCAUGUACAAAAUAUCCACUGUAUUAUUGGAGUUUUCUCUCUCUCUCUCUCUGGUUUCUUCCAUCUUUAUCUGAGCUCAUUUCAUUUAUGAGGUGUGGAAAAAACUCACUUGUUACAAGAGGGGAAAUCAGCUUUUCUUUGCUUAAGGACAACUUUGCUGCUUGAAGAAGGCUUUUGCUCAGAACUUCAUUUCAUUUCUUCUUGCUUGUCUAUUUUUAUUAUUUAAUUUCUUGUUCUUUUCUUCUUUUGCUCAAGACAAAUAGAAUUGAAUUUGUAGAUGCUGUAGGCCUGUGGGACUUUCUAAACCUCUAAAUUAAUCCCCUAUCAUUCCUUUUUA